AUAGGUCCGAGGUGGACGUGUGGUGACACAUGGAGCUGACGGAUACUAAUCGAUCGAGGACUUAACUUC
rnacentral:rRNA from 1 species